rnacentral:rRNA from 1 species
GACGAACGCUGGCGGCGUGCUUAACACAUGCAAGUCGAACGGAAAGGCCCUGCUUUUGUGGGGUUCUCGAGUGGCGAACGGGUGAGUAACACGUGAGUAACCUGCCCUUGACUUUGGGAUAACUUCAGGAAACUGGGGCUAAUACCGGAUAGGAGCUCCUGCUGCAUGGUGGGGGUUGGAAAGUUUCGGCGGUGGGGGCUGGACUCGCGGCUUAUCAGCUUGUUGGUGGGGUAGUGGCUUACCAAGGCUUUGACGGGUAGCCGGCCUGAGAGGGUGACCGGCCACAUUGGGACUGAGAUACGGCCCAGACUCCUACGGGAGGCAGCAGUGGGGAAUAUUGCACAAUGGGCGGAAGCCUGAUGCAGCAACGCCGCGUGCGGGAUGACGGCCUUCGGGUUGUAAACCGCUUUCGCCUGUGACGAAGCGUGAGUGACGGUAAUGGGUAAAGAAGCACCGGCUAACUACGUG